GCUAAUACUAGUAAUGGAAAUACUCGCUGAUACUGCAAGAAUUGUGGCAUCGGUAUAAGCCAGUAUUUCCGAUACUAGUAUUGGU
ensembl:miRNA dre-mir-7148 dre-mir-7148